rnacentral:rRNA from 1 species
GAUGAACGCUGGCGGCGUGCCUAAUACAUGCAAGUCGAGCGAACAGACGAGGAGCUUGCUCCUCUGACGUUAGCGGCGAACGGGUGAGUAACACGUGGAUAACCUACCUAUAAGACUGGGAUAACUUCGGGAAACCGGAGCUAAUACCGGAUAAUAUAUUGAACCGCAUGGUUCAAUAGUGAAAGACGGUUUUGCUGUCACUUAUAGAUGGAUCCGCGCCGCAUUAGCUAGUUGGUAAGGUAACGGCUUACCAAGGCGACGAUGCGUAGCCGACCUGAGAGGGUGAUCGGCCACACUGGAACUGAGACACGGUCCAGACUCCUACGGGAGGCAGCAGUAGGGAAUCUUCCGCAAUGGGCGAAAGCCUGACGGAGCAACGCCGCGUGAGUGAUGAAGGUCUUCGGAUCGUAAAACUCUGUUAUUAGGGAAGAACAAAUGUGUAAGUAACUAUGCACGUCUUGACGGUACCUAAUCAGAAAGCCACGGCUAACUACGUG